AAAAUGUGAAGUCAAGGACGUUGGUGUCCAGACAGAGGUUUCCUGCCCUCCCAACUCGCUGCUGUUUUUCUGCACGAAAAAGGUGACCUUAGAUGAUGAGCCGCGUUGUCCUGAAGUCAAUGAGAGAGAUGAGCCAGUUUCCAGGCCGUGUACCCCAGCAGGUCACGGUGGUAGCCAGGGGGCCAUGCUAAGAGACCACGUCACACACUGCUGACUAACAUACGAUGAUGAGUUCGUCAAUGAUGAGCAGUGGCAGAGAACAGCUUACCUGCUGUUCUAUGAAAAACAGAUAAAGGAGGAUACUGUGGGUGUUGGAGAGGACCCACUGAAAAAUGUGAGUGCACGAAAGGAUCUCACAGAUGAACAUGUGGCCCCUGACACUCCAGCCACCUCUUCUGCACCAGUCUCACCUCCAGCUGAGGCUCAGACGAACAAAUCAAAGAAGGCUUCCUGGUGGCGCAGAUGGCUUUUUUUUUUGAGAAAAAGUCAAAGGUUUUUCCCAAAAAUGAAGACAAGGCAGAAGACACGGUCGUGCCACCUUCUGAACCCCAACAGAGUACCAUCAGCACUGAAA